rnacentral:rRNA from 1 species
GAUGAACGCUGGCGGCGUGCCUAAUACAUGCAAGUCGAGCGAACGGACGAGAAGCUUGCUUCUCUGAUGUUAGCGGCGGACGGGUGAGUAACACGUGGAUAACCUACCUAUAAGACUGGGAUAGCUUCGGGAAACCGGAGCUAAUACCGGAUGAUAUUUUGAACCGCAUGGUUCAAAAGUGAAAGACGGUCUUGCUGUCACUUAUAGAUGGAUCCGCGCUGCAUUAGCUAGUUGGUAAGGUAACGGCUUACCAAGGCAACGAUGCAUAGCCGACCUGAGAGGGUGAUCGGCCACACUGGAACUGAGACACGGUCCAGACUCCUACGGGAGGCAGCAGUAGGGAAUCUUCCGCAAUGGGCGAAAGCCUGACGGAGCAACGCCGCGUGAGUGAUGAAGGUCUUCGGAUCGUAAAACUCUGUUAUUAGGGAAGAACAUAUGUGUAAGUAACUGUGCACAUCUUGACGGUAUCUAAUCAGAAAGCCACGGCUAACUACGUG